rnacentral:lncRNA from 1 species
GGGUCAUCCAAGUUGGGCUUUGAUCUACCUGCAAUAUCGUGUUAGUUUUAUUAAAAGCAGGUGUAUGGACCUGUUGUAUGUACACUUCAUCGGGAAGCUGUUCCAGUUCUUCCUUGGAUAAUCGGCUGAGCAGAUCUGCUUUCUCAUUUUCCUCUCGGGGUAUUCUUUGAAACCUGAUGGUUACUCCUCGACCCAUGAGCUCGGCUUCCAAAGUUUUUACUUUAUCAAGG